AUAAUGAAAAGACUUAUAAAACGAUAUGUUUUGAAAGCACAAGUAGAUAAAGAAAAUGAUGAAGUUAAUGAAGGUGAAUUGAAGGAGAUCAAGCAAGAUAUCUCCAGCCUUCGUUAUGAACUUUUGGAAGACAAGAGCCAAGCAACUGAGGAAUUAGCCAUUCUGAUUCAUAAACUCAGUGAGAAACUGAACCCCAGCGUGUUGAGAUGUGAAUGAUGCUCCAACAUGGAAUUCUGGCUUUGACCAUAGCACAAAUGUU